AUUGAACGCUGGCGGCAGGCCUAACACAUGCAAGUCGAACGGUAACAGGAAGAAUCUUGCUUCUUUGCUGACGAGUGGCGGACGGGUGAGUCAUGUCUGGGCUACUGCCUGCUGGAGGGGGAUAACUACUGGAAACGGUUGCUACUACCGCAUAACGUCUCUAGACCAAAGUGGGCGUCCUUCGUUCCUCUUGCCAUCGUCUGUGCCCAGAUGGGAUUAGCUAGUUGGUGGGGUAACGUCUCACAUAGGCGACGAUCCCUAGCUGGUCUGAGAGGAGGACAAGCAAAACGGGAACGGAGAAACGGACAAGAGUCCUACGGGAGGAAGCAGAGGGGAAUAUGGCACAAUGGGGGAAAGCCGGAUGCAGCAAGGCGGGGUGGAGGAAGAAGGCGUAGGGGUGGUAAAGUAAUUUCAGCGGGGAGGAAGGGAGUAAAGAUAAAACCUUAGCACAGUGACGUUACCCGAAGAAGAAGCAACGGCUAACUACGUG
rnacentral:rRNA from 1 species